rnacentral:rRNA from 1 species
UACAGAGGGUGCAAGCGUUGUUCGGAAUUACUGGGCGUAAAGCGCGUGUAGGUGGCGAUGUAAGUCGGGUGUGAAAUCCCUCAGCUUAACUGAGGAAGUGCACUCGAUACUGUGUCGCUUGAGUGUUGGAGGGGAUGGCGGAAUUCCCGGUGUAGAGGUGAAAUUCGUAGAUAUCGGGAGGAACACCUGUGGCGAAGGCGGCCUUCUGGACAGUGACUGACGCUGAGACGCGAAAGCGUGGGGAGCAAACAGG